ACGCUCGACACCUACGGGAGGCAGCAGUGGGGAAUAUUGCACAAUGGGGGAAACCCUGAUGCAGCGACGCCGCGUGAGCGAAGAAGUAUUUCGGUAUGUAAAGCUCUAUCAGCAGGGAAGAAAAUGACGGUACCUGACUAAGAAGCCCCGGNUAACUACGUGUCAGCAGCCGCGGUAAUCUGAGCGGCUGGCAAGGC
rnacentral:rRNA from 1 species